AAUACAGCUCAUGGAAGGUCAGAAUGUAUAAGAAUCUGUUUAUUGGAUACCUUCAAAGUCACUAAGGCAAUUUGCUGUGUCAUCUCAUUAUAUGCAUGGCUUGAAAGAGGAACCUAGUUCUAAAGCUUGAAGUGGUUUAUUGAUCCUAAAAGAUGAGCAGAUACUAUUUACUAUCCACAUUUUAUUGAUAAGGAAACUGACAAAGAGCUUAAAUAAGUUGCUCAACAUCAUGCAGGAUGUCAGAGACUUCAUCUUUAUUUCUUUUGUUAGAUUAUAUCCUUUUCACAUCGAAAUCGCACUGGGGACAUUGAUAUUAGACAUUGCAUUAUAAAAGGCCAGAUUUUCCUAUGUCUAUCUGCACAGUUUUUUCUCUGGGGUGAUUAAUGGUCAUAUUUCAGAACAAUGAGUCAUAUUUCAGAACAAUCAUCCCAGAGUGAAAUAGAGGAGACAGAAAUAAAAUAGCAACAAGGGGUAGAUUGAAGAUAAGAAUGUGGGCUUGGUGCAAAGACAAAGAUGAAGUGGGAAAUCAAUUAGCUGCAAGCUUCUUCAAAAUAAAGCAAUGUGGGAUGUGAAGAAGGGGAAUGAGCAAUAAAAAUCAGUUCUCUUCCAAGCCUUAAGCUUACAAAGCAAUCCAGCUAGGGAGACAAAUAAAACAAUACAAGCAAAAACAUGUCUUAGAAUAACAUUUUUGAUGAUAAAGAUAAUAUAUGCUUGAUAUGGGGCAUUCAUAAAAUAUAAAGAAAAAAAUUACCUGGAGAUCACCAUUUGUGAAUAUUUCUAUGUAUUUUCUUACAGCCUUUAUUCUUCCCUAAAUUUUCUUUUCUACUCAUCUGCAAUCAUUUUUUGUGUGUAAUUUUGUAUUCUCCUUUUUCAGCAUUAUGUCAUGAACAUUUUCUUAAGUCAACAUUCUGAAAACAUCUGUAUGACUUUUAUUGCUGUUUUUUUAUCAACAAAAUUUACAGACGUAGAAAAAUUUAGAAAAUAAAAUAAAAGCUACUGAUGCUAUUGAUGAUAUAAAUGCACAUACAUUUAUGUGAAUUCUGUAAUCUAUGUAUAACAUGUAUGUGAUCACAUUAUCUUUAUUAUUUUGUGAUAUGCUUUUUGAUACUUAGCAAUAUAGUGUGGAUAUCUAUCAUUUAUCUGCCCCGUCUUUCAAAUGUAUAUACAUGCAUUAUUUUUAAUAAAUACAUAGUGGUAUUCU